rnacentral:tRNA from 1 species
ACCCCCGUAGUGUCGCUGGCCAACACGCGGACCCUUCGGGUCCGAGCCUCGAGUUCGAUUCUCGACGGGGGCC